GAUGAACGCUGGCGGCGUGCUUAACACAUGCAAGUCGAACGGUGAACCCGGAGCUUGCUCUGUGGGAUCAGUGGCGAACGGGUGAGUAACACGUGAGCAACCUGCCCCUGACUCUGGGAUAAGCGCUGGAAACGGCGUCUAAUACUGGAUAUGUGACGUGACCGCAUGGUCUGCGUUUGGAAAGAUUGUUCGGUUGGGGAUGGGCUCGCGGCCUAUCAGCUUGUUGGUGAGGUAAUGGCUCACCAAGGCGUCGACGGGUAGCCGGCCUGAGAGGGUGACCGGCCACACUGGGACUGAGACACGGCCCAGACUCCUACGGGAGGCAGCAGUGGGGAAUAUUGCACAAUGGGCGCAAGCCUGAUGCAGCAACGCCGCGUGAGGGAUGACGGCCUUCGGGUUGUAAACCUCUUUUAGCAGGGAAGAAGCGAAAGUGACGGUACCUGCAGAAAAAGCGCCGGCUAACUACGUG
rnacentral:rRNA from 1 species